GGUGAUCUACCCAUGUCCAGGAUGAAGGUAAGGUAAUACUUACUGGAGGUCCGAACCCACGCACGUUGAAAAGUGCGGGGAUGAGGUGUGGGUAGCGGAGAAAUUCCAAUCGAACUUGGAGAUAGCUGGUUCUCUCCGAAAUAGCUUUAGGGCUAGCCUCGAGGUAAAGAGUCAUGGAGGUAGAGCACUGUUUGGACUAGGGGCCCUUCUCGGGUUACCGAAUUCAGAUAAACUCCGAAUGCCAUGUACUUAUACUCGGGAGUCAGACUGCGAGUGAUAAGAUCCGUAGUCGAAAGGGAAACAGCCCAGACCACCAGUUAAGGUCCCCAAAUAUAUGUUAAGUGGAAAAGGAUGUGGGGUUGCUUAGACAACCAGGAUGUUGGCUUAGAAGCAGCCACCAUUGAAAGAGUGCGUAAUAGCUCACUGGUCGAGUGACCCCGCGCCGAAAAUGUACCGGGGCUAAACAUAUUACCGAAACUGUGGAUGAACCUCUUUAGAGGUUCGUGGUAGGAGAGCGUUCUAAGGGCGGUGAAGUCAGACCGGAAGGACUGGUGGAGCGCUUAGAAGUGAGAAUGCCGGUAUGAGUAGCGAAAGAAGGGUGAGAAUCCCUUCCACCGAAUAUCUAAGGUUUCCUGAGGAAGGCUCGUCCGCUCAGGGUUAGUCGGGACCUAAGCCGAGGCCGAUAGGCGUAGGCGAUGGACAACAGGUAGAGAUUCCUGUACCAGUGCUAAUUGUUUAACCGAUGGGGUGACACAGAAGGAUAGGGAAUCGCACGAAUGGAAAUGUGCGUCCAAGCAGUGAGUGUGAGAAGUAGGCAAAUCCGCUUCUCGCGAAGCAUGAGCUGUGAUGGGGAAGGAAAUUAAGUACGGAAGUUCCUGAUUUCACGCUGUCAAGAAAAGCCUCUAGGAAGAGUAGUACUGCCCGUACCGCAAACCGACACAGGUAGAUGAGGAGAGAAUCCUAAGGUGAGCGAGAGAACUCUCGUUAAGGAACUCGGCAAAAUGACCCCGUAACUUCGGGAGAAGGGGUGCUCUAUUAGGGUGCAAGCCCGAGAGAGCCGCAGUGAAUAGGCCCAGGCGACUGUUUAGCAAAAACACAGGUCUCUGCAAAACCGUAAGGUGACGUAUAGGGGCUGACGCCUGCCCGGUGCUGGAAGGUUAAGAGGAGUGCUUAGCUUCGGCGAAGGUACGAAUUGAAGCCCCAGUAAACGGCGGCCGUAACUAUAACGGUCCUAAGGUAGCGAAAUUCCUUGUCGGGUAAGUUCCGACCCGCACGAAAGGCGCAACGAUCUGGGCACUGUCUCAACGAGAGACUCGGUGAAAUUAUAGUACCUGUGAAGAUGCAGGUUACCCGCGACAGGACGGAAAGACCCCGUGGAGCUUUACUGCAACCUGAUAUGGAAUGUUUGUACCGCUUGUACAGGAUAGGUAGGAGCCGAAGAGACGUGUGCGCUAGCAUACGAGGAGGCAAUGGUGGGAUACUACCCUGGCUGUAUGACCAUUCUAACCCGCCACGCUUAGCGCGUGGGGAGACAGUGUCAGGUGGGCAGUUUGACUGGGGCGGUCGCCUCCUAAAGAGUAACGGAGGCGCCCAAAGGUUCCCUCAGAAUGGAUGGAAAUCAUUCGCAGAGUGUAAAGGCACAAGGGAGCUUGACUGCGAGACUGACAAGUCGAGCAGGGACGAAAGUCGGGCUUAGUGAUCCGGUGGUUCCGCAUGGAAGGGCCAUCGCUCAACGGAUAAAAGCUACCCCGGGGAUAACAGGCUUAUCUCCCCCAAGAGUCCACAUCGACGGGGAGGUUUGGCACCUCGAUGUCGGCUCGUCGCAUCCUGGGGCUGUAGUCGGUCCCAAGGGUUGGGCUGUUCGCCCAUUAAAGCGGCACGCGAGCUGGGUUCAGAACGUCGUGAGACAGUUCGGUCCCUAUCCGUCGCGGGCGCAGGAAAUUUGAGAGGAGCUGUCCUUAGUACGAGAGGACCGGGAUGGACACACCGCUGGUGUACCAGUUGUUCCGCCAGGAGCAUCGCUGGGUAGCUAUGUGUGGCAGGGAUAAACGCUGAAAGCAUCUAAGCGUGAAGCCCCCCUCAAGAUGAGAUUUCCCAUUUCUUCGGAAAGUAAGAUCCCUGAAAGAUGAUCAGGUAGAUAGGUUUGGAGUGGAAGUGUAGCGAUACAUGGAGCGG
rnacentral:rRNA from 1 species